rnacentral:rRNA from 1 species
UACGGAGGGUGCAAGCGUUGUCCGGAUUUAUUGGGUUUAAAGGGUGCGUAGGCGGUCAACUAAGUCAGUGGUGAAAGGCAGCAGCUCAACUGUUGCACUGCCAUUGAUACUGGAUGACUUGAGUACAGACGAGGUAGGCGGAAUUUAUGGUGUAGCGGUGAAAUGCAUAGAUACCAUAAAGAACACCGAUUGCGAAGGCAGCUUACUAGGCUGUAACUGACGCUGAGGCACGAAAGCGUGGGGAUCGAACAGG